rnacentral:rRNA from 1 species
GACAGAGGGUGCAAACGUUGCUCGGAAUCACUGGGCGUAAAGGGCGUGUAGGCGGGAAUGUAAGUCGGGCGUGAAAGCCCCAGGCUCAACCUGGGAACUGCACUCGAAACUGCGUUUCUUGAGUAUCGGAGAGGAAAGCGGAAUACCUUGUGUAGAGGUGAAAUUCGUAGAUAUCAGGUGGAACACCAGUGGCGAAGGCGGCUUUCUGGACGAUUACUGACGCUGAGACGCGAAAGCGUGGGGAGCAAACAGG